rnacentral:lncRNA from 1 species
GGGAAAGCUUUGGGCUUUUUUGGGGGGCUCAUUCCCUUUGUUUCUCAAAAUAUCCCUGGCCCUGGCUGCUCUAAUCUCUUCCCAGAGUAGAGACAGCGAGGCUCCUGCUCCAGGAACACAGCCUGCUCCCUGAGACAGCACUCUGGCUCAGCCCUGGGGCCCCGGCCUGGGUGGCCCUCAGGAAGACCUUCUCCUUCAGUGGGGGUGCCUCCCUCCCUGGUGUGAAAUGGAACACUGUUUCUCAGAACCCCGCAUCCUGUGAAACCCUUGGGAAAAAAUAACCUCGAUGCCCACAGGCGAUUGUUCAGUACUUCCCACGCCUGACACUUGUCUUUGAGUAAGUCUGGUGGCGUUCUGGCCGGCCCCGCAACAGCGGGACUGUGUCUUGUGAUAUGAAGAGGUUCUUUUCCUAACCAUAUAUGUCUCCCCAAGAGCACCAAUAAAUAAUGUGGUUGCUCGGCCUGGGUUGUCUUUCCCUAGCUGGCCCAGGAGCCCUCUGGCCCCUGCUCGCGGCUUCUCCUGUUUCAAUUUCCAUGUCCUCUCCGAUUUGUAACUCAAGGAGCUCCCAGGCUUAGGAACAGAUGACGAGCUGGCCACUCCUGGCUGUGGCACCUGGGGAAGGGGCGAUGGGCAAUGACUUGCAGGCACACUCCUGGCUCCCUGGCCCCGGCUGCCGUGACACACUGCAAGUUGACUUUCGCAGGGUCCCUGGACUUCGAGGUGCUACUGUCUGGCAUCUCCUUCAAGGGAAAGCCAGAUCUCCAAACAGCGGCAGAACCAGGCAUGUAGAGCCCAGUGAGUGGCUAGGAGUCAGUGGGGCUCUCUACCUGCCCAUCUCAUCCAGGGCACAACAGGGCCUGGCCUGGAGGACAGUGUCCCCGCUCAGAAAGACCACCUGUCUCCCAGGGAUGCUGUGA